AAAAAACAGAUGAGAACAGAUGUGAAAGUGAAUAUGAGAGUGUUGUGAGACAUGAAGCAUCGGUCCAGAACCUUACAUGUGAUACCUUUUUACUGGGUCAAGAUAAACGUAAGGAUGCUCUUGCAGAGGACUUGGUGAACAAUCAUAGCAAGCAGAAAGGAAUAAAGAAGCGAUUGCUUGAUUAUCUUAAUGAAGAAAGUGACGGUCAGAAUUUUUGUAGUCUGUCUGGUUUUCCCAGCCACGGAGAUGUAAUUGCGGAUCAUGUUCAAUAUUCAGAAAAGUUGUCAGAUUUGGUAAAGAGUAAACAUUUACAGUCAACGGAUGCUGAUAUUAGAUCAGAGACACUUAAUAGAAAUGAAGCCCAGACAUUUGGAAUUCUCUCAGCAGCAAAAAUGGAAGCAGCACAGCGAAAUCUGCCUUCUUACCAAAACAGCAAUCUCGCUAACACAUGUAAUGUAGGGGAAGAUAGAGAAACAGUACAUCAAGCAGCAAAUGCUGUUCUUGAACCAUGCAAUGAUUUGGUGGAGAGAAGUGCAGGAAAUACUCCAUCCCUCAACAAGUUAAAACCUGCCAAGCAAUCUAGUAAAUAUGUCUCAGUAAGUCCUACAACAGCCAAGCCUGUACAGAAAUUGAGCAAUGAUGAGAGGAAGCAAAAUAUAGAGAAGAGAAACAAGGAUGGCAAUACUCAUGGUGGUGGGAAUGCAAAACAUGUAACUUUUGGGAAUCUCUCCCCAACUUUGCAGAAUAGUACUGAGCAUAAACCCAUUCUGCCUGAAUGUGACUUAGCUCUGGAGGGUGAGCAGUGCAGCUUCAGACCUUCAACUUCACCUCUGAKUCACUCUUCUCCUAGUGAGACUUCUGGAACAGCAUUUUCAGGAACUGAAAUGGACUUUACUUGCCCAUCACAUUGCCAGGAAUCUCCUUGCA
rnacentral:lncRNA from 1 species